GAAUUUUAUAUAAUAAUUAAAAUUAAUUUUUUAAUAUUUUAAAGUAGGUUAAUUUUAAUUUAUAUUUAGUUGGGAGGAUUGAUAAAUUUAAAGAGCUUUAAUUUUUAAUUUACAUGAAUUUAUGAAGUUAGAUAAAUUAAGUUAAAUUAUGAUAAAAAAAUUAAUUACCUUAGGGAUAACAGCGUAAAAUUUUUAGAGAGAUCAUAUUGAUAAAAGUGUUUGC
rnacentral:rRNA from 1 species